rnacentral:snRNA from 1 species
GUGCACUUACCUCAGCAGCACAUAUACUAAAAUUGGAAUGAUGUAGAGAAGAUUAGCGUGGCCCCUGUGCAGGGGUGACAUGCAAAUUUGAGGAGCGUUCUAUAUUUUU